rnacentral:rRNA from 1 species
AACGUAGGGGACAAGCGUUAUCCGGAUUUACUGGGCGUAAAGCGCCCGUAGGCGGCCUGACAAGUUGGACGUGAAAGCUCCUGGCUUAACUGGGAGAGGCCGUUCAAAACUGUCAAGCUAGAGUCUGGAAGAGGAGAGCGGAAUUCCCGGUGUAGUGGUGGAAUGCGUAGAGAUCGGGAGGAACACCAGUGGCGAAGGCGACUACCUGGCCUGUUCUUGACGCUGAGGCGCGAAAGCUAGGGGAGCAAACGGG